rnacentral:rRNA from 1 species
AUUGAACGCUGGCGGCAUGCUUACACAUGCAAGUCGAACGGCACGCGGGGCAACCUGGCGGCGAGUGGCGAACGGGUGAGUAAUAUAUCGGAACGUACCCGAAGUGGGGGAUAACGUAGCGAAAGUUACGCUAAUACCGCAUACGAUCUAAGGAUGAAAGUGGGGAUUCGCAAGAACCUCAUGCUCCUGGAGCGGCCGAUAUCUGAUUAGCUAGUUGGUGGGGUAAAGGCCCACCAA